rnacentral:tRNA from 1 species
GAGGGUAUAGCUCAGUGGUAGAGUGCAUGCCUAGCACGCACAAAGUCCUGGGUUCAAUCCCCAGUAUCUCCA